rnacentral:rRNA from 1 species
UACGGGGGGGGCAAGCGUUGUUCGGAAUUACUGGGCGUAAAGGGUGCGUAGGCGGCUUAUUAAGUCAGGGGUGAAAGACGGUGGCUCAACCAUCGCAGUGCCUUUGAUACUGAUGAGCUUGAAUACACUUGAGGUAGGCGGAAUGUGACAAGUAGCGGUGAAAUGCAUAGAUAUGUCACAGAACACCAAUUGCGAAGGCAGCUUACUAAGGUGCAAUUGACGCUGAGGCACGAAAGCGUGGGGAUCAAACAGG